rnacentral:rRNA from 1 species
AUUGAACGCUGGCGGCAUGCCUUACACAUGCAAGUCGAACGGUAACGCGGGGCAACCUGGCGACGAGUGGCGAACGGGUGAGUAAUGUAUCGGAACGUGCCCAGUUGUGGGGGAUAACUGCUCGAACGAGCAGCUAAUACCGCAUACGACCUGAGGGUGAAAGCGGGGGAUCGGAAGACCUCGCGCAAUUGGAGCGGCCGAUAUCAGAUUAGGUAGUUGGUGGGGUAAAGGUCCACCAAGCCAACGAUCUGUAGCUGGUCUGAGAGGACGACCAGCCACACUGGGAAUGAGGCCCGGCCCAGAUCCUUACGGGAGGCAGCAGUGGGGAAUUUUGGACAAUGGACGAAAGUCUGAUCCAGCCAUGCCGGGUGCGGGAAGAAGGCCUUCGGGUUGUAAACCGCUUUUGUCAGGGAAGAAAAGGGCGACUUUAAUACAGUUGCCUCAUGACGGUACCUGAAGAAUAAGCACCGGCUAACUACGUGCCAGCCGCCGCAGUAAAAC